GGUGCUAUAGUGUAGUGGUUAUCACUCGGGAUUUUGAGACCGACUUUCCCGAAACCCAGGUUCGAACCCUCGUAGCACCU